GACAGAGGUCCCAAGCGUUAGGCGGAAUCACUGGGCUUAAAGCGUGUGUAGGCGGCCUUCUAAGUACCUUGUGAAAUCCCACGGCUCAACCGUGGAACUGCUUGGUAUACUGGUUGUCUUGGGCCAUCUAGGGGCUAGCGGAACAAACGGUGGAGCGGUGAAAUGCGUAGAUAUCGUUUGGAACGCCAAUGGUGAAAACAGCUAGCUGGGGAUGUGCCGACGCUGAGACACGAAAGUCAGGGGAGCGAACGGG
rnacentral:rRNA from 1 species